ensembl:snRNA U6 U6 spliceosomal RNA
GUGCUUGCUCCAGCAGCACAGAUACUGAAAUUGGAAGGAAACAGAGAUCAGCAUGCCCAUACAUGAGGAUGACAGGCAGAUUUCUGAAGCAUUCCCCCAAUCC